AUACGGAGGGUGCAAGCGUUAAUCGGAAUUACUGGGCGUAAAGCGUGCGUAGGCGGUUUAUUAAGUCAGAUGUGAAAGCCCCGGGCUUAACCUGGGAACUGCAUUUGAUACUGGUAGACUAGAGUAUGGUAGAGGGGGGUAGAAUUCCUAGUGUAGCGGUGAAACGCGUAGAUAUUAGGAGGAAUACCAGUGGCGAAGGCGGCCCCCUGGACCAAUACUGACGCUGAGGUACGAAAGCGUGGGUAGCGAACAGGAUUAGAUACCCUAGAGUCC
rnacentral:rRNA from 1 species